rnacentral:rRNA from 1 species
GACGAACCGUGCGAACGUUAUUCGGAAUCACUGGGCUUAAAGGGCGCGUAGGCGGGCGACCAAGUCAGGGGUGAAAUCGUUCGGCCCAACCGGACAAGGGCCCCUGAUACUGGUUGUCUCGAGGGAGGUAGGGGUCGAUGGAACUUCCGGUGGAGCGGUGAAAUGCGUAGAUAUCGGAAGGAACGCCGGUGGCGAAAGCGAUCGACUGGACCUCUUCUGACGCUGAGGCGCGAAAGCCAGGGGAGCAAAGCGGG